rnacentral:misc_RNA from 1 species
UCACUACUUGCGUAGGCAGUCUGGCUAGAGUCCCCACCAUUACGUGCUGGUAACUAACCACAGGGGUUGCGCUCGUUGCGCCACUUAAGGCAACACCUCACGGCACGAGCUGACGACAGCCAUGCAGCACCUUCCGGCCCGUCCCGAAGGAAAGCUCCCUUUCAGGAGCCGGCAGGCCGGAUUUAGCCCAGGUAAGGUGGGGAUGACGUGUGCGUAACAGAA